CUGGAUCGACUUGCGAGCUCACACAGUACUCGAUGAAAUAACAGAAAUAACACAAUUCUAUUUAUUACAUCGAUAGUCCAAGAGCAAUACAUUUAUUACAAAAUAGGGCAUAGAGCCAAUAAGAAAAUACUACGGAAGCAAAGUAGUAAAUGAGUCCAACUCCACGAGCAAGGUUGAGUGUAGAACAUCGACCUAUCGCACCUUAAUCCUCAUCGGAUAUAUCUGCAACAUGAUUAGUUGCAGUCAUAUAGGUCAGUACAUUGAAUGUACUAGAAAGUCCCAUCAUAAGUGUAAUGAACCUACUUGUACAUGCAAUUUGGCUGGUGGAAAGCUCUAAGUUUAGUUUUUGCAUAAAGCUAGUUUUUCCCUAUUAGAAAAGAUGUUAUUCUACUACUACACAUUUGCAUAGGAUGAGUUGGCAAACUCAACUCCAUCCAUUCCCAAGUUUCAUUUAAAACCCAACUUUUUAAUUAAAGGUAAGGAGAUCUCCUGGCAUUUCCACUACUAGAUGCUCAAGUUGUCCAUAACCGGGACACGGUUAAUCGAUUAGGUUUCAACACUCUACAAAUGAUUGCACACUUUUCCCCACAAGACUCGAUCGCCACCCUUGAAGUUAUCGCACUGCCUGGUGUUUGAGAAUAGGAUGAUCGAGACAUAGUCUUUCAAAAAUGUUCCCCCUUAAACCACAGAUAGGCCGGUACACCUACUCAUUCUACAUCUUCUAGCCCAUCCCGGAAGGGGUCACACUAACUACUCAACUAAGCCAGAGCCCAUAUUGGCUUGUGGCUGCACACAUAAACUUCUAGACAUGAGAAUACGAUUGAUCUCUUUGAUCCUGAGCGGAUGGAGCACUAGAGGUGCACCACCAUGGGUUUCCCAUGCAUGCCCCACUAUACUUCGCCACCAUUACAACAAGUUUCCUCCUAGGAAGUUCAUUAAUUAUCUUAGGUCCUAUUUACUACAUUGUCACUUAUACUUUAUAAUGAUCACUCCCCAACCCACGUCUACUUAGCGAAGCAACAUAAUGUAAAACGGUGGCGACAAUGUUGUAAGGUUCAGACCUACCUCAAUGAACUACUGGGUGUAAGCAUAUCCAUCCGGGAUAAAAUCCUACCAUGCAGUCCUACUACAAAGAACUAAGUGCAUAAUUAAAACAUAGGUAAUGAACACAUGAUCAAGAUGCAACUUGUAUUGGUACUGCUGGUUGAAUUCUGAAGAGUGGUAAUAUUCUAGUUCGCACUCCGGGAAAUCUAUCGCAAAGAAGAUAAACAAACAUAAACAAAUAGUAGCAAAAAGGCUCGUGCAUUGCAGCGGGAGAAAAGAAUACCACACGCUUUAAAUUUAGAAAAAAUAGUCUAUAAUCUGAGUAUUUGUAGCUAUGACCAAAACAAAGAUGGUCUUUGCCUACAAAAGGGCAAGUUUAAGAUUCAACAUGUCUUUGUAGAUAUAGUACGUACAAAGAAAUGGGCAAGUGAUCUUCAAUUUCGUCUGCAAUCUUGAUUUUGCUGAGAUGUUCAUCCACAAUUCGGAUCAGUACAGAUAUGAAAGAAAGACGAAUAAUGCACUAUUUAUUAAGAUUGCACCCUGGAUAGUAUUUUUAAAUGGUUAACAGGUAAAAUAACAUCAUAUUCAUAUUCCAUAUAUUUUUCUAAUCAAAUUCCAUAUAUAACAUGUUCAAUUUGGAGUUACGGUUUAAAAGAUACGAGUAUUUUAAAAAACAUUUAAUAUGUACUACGGGUUUAAUAUAAGAAACAUCAGAGGAUUUUCUAUAAAAUAGUAUGACGGACUAAGAAUACCUAUUUUUUUUAUUAGUAGGUAUAGAUUUCAAAGAACCAAGAAGAACAUGCAAAGGAAGAAGUCUUGGAAAACCAAAUGAACAUACAACACACUAAGUUGUCACAAAAAAUAUUCUAAGUGCAAAACCACAUAGGCCUAUGGUUCAAAAAGUGAUGUGAACUAAAGUGCAUACUAUGCAUACUAGUGAAAUAUAAAUGGGAGGAUUCUAGUGUGUGAAAAAUUAUUGUGACGAAGGUCCAGGUGAUAGGGUUUGGCUACGGUGUCAAAGUGCAAAAGGAAUCAACUUAAUCGGAGCUACGGUUUAGGAUUAUGGCCAUAUGAAGUUCAAAUUCAAAUCUAAACAAAUUCAAAUUUGAAUCUGACAAAAGUUUACAAAAAGGACACCACUGGAUAGCUCUAAACAUGAUGAAGAAUUUGCCGCUGGUUUCAUCGAGUUUAGAUCGAUGGUUAAAAAGUUAUGACUAAUCUAAGAUCAGGGACUAAUUUAGUAAUUACAGGUACUAAACUGUGAAGAAAAACUAUGGCAAAUAGGUCCGCAGCCACAUGGCGGCUCGUGGCUGGCCGAAAGGUGUUCGCUGUGUAGCUUAUACAGCGAACAUUCGGACCUUAAGCAAAACGACGGCGAUGGCUAACUUAAACAAAAACCGAUCGGUUUUAAAAUAAAAACUCGUGGUUAACCGCAUACUGGUUUGACUAAAAACAACUAACCUAAUCUAAUAUAGGCCGUCGGUGAUCGAUCUAAUGGGCAGGAGUGGGGCGGCGGCUUACGGCGGGUGGUGGAGGUGGCCGGCGAUGAUGAAGACGGCGGCACGACGUCGGUGACGGAGGGGGCUGCGGCUGCGGUGGUCCUCGUCGAUGGGGAAGAAGACGGGGAGGUGCAGCGUGUCGAGGGAGUCGCGAAGGUGGUGGCGGUGUUCAUCAGCGGCGUCGGGACGGGCGAGGUGAAAACGGCGAGGCUCAGUGCUCCGUCGUCGACAGUGCGGCGGCUCCGACGGGACCUAGGGGCAAAAAUCAUGUUAAAGGGAUGCACCUUAGUGAGCUAAUAAAUUUUAUAAAACAGUGAGGGUCGGACUGGUCUACGGGCGUCGAAAUGCUCCGACGAGUGGCGCGGCUCUGGCGAGAUGCGAACAGGAAGGGCGGCGGGUCUGAGCGGCGUGGGAUGAAGCGGGGCGGCGAGAUUGGAAGAGGGGUCUAGGGGCUUUUAUAGGCGAGGGCAGAGGGCUUGGGGUCGACGGAUAAGGCCUCAUCCACGAGAGAGCCCAGCGGAUGUUGCGAGAGCGCGGCGAGGAUGUUUAUCCCGUGUGGUGCGGGAGGUUGGGGACGACCUGAUGGGCGGGGCCCACGUGUCGGCGGGUGCAGGAGGGCGAGUGAGAGUGAGGCGAGGGGCAGUCGAUCGGUGGGGGGAGGUCGAGGGUGCGGGAGGCCGGCCGUGGGCCAAAUGGCCAACUAGGCCGGUCGGGGCGCUCCUAGGCCGAAGCCAGUUUCGGUCCAGGCUGCCGUGAGUGUGUGCGUGUGUGUUUUUGUAAACCGAAGACUAAAGUGGCCCUAAGUAAUUCAAAUGAAUUAAUAAAAACACCACAAUAAUUUCUAAAAUAACUAUACAAUAUUUAGAGCUUAAUGAACAUUAAUUUAAACACAGAACAUUUAGAAAAUAUUUUCCUAAUGCAUUUAAUGCACUUUUGGCAAAUAAAAUGAGAACCAAAUCUCUCCCUAAUAAUAAAGCACGGAUUGACUCUGUGGGUUCACCGUCACAAUACGCUUCUGCCUAGUCGUAAUAUGCUUUUAUGAUUUGUAUAGAAAAAACCAUAAUAUAAAUGAGGUGGCGUACUACCAAUAACAUGUUCGUCCGUCCGUCCGACCGUUUUGCCUUCACAUCCACGCUCACUGCAUUGGGCUGCUUUGGCCUGGCCCAUCCCUGUGCAACUUCAUGCCCGUCACUUAUGCCAGCAACGCUAGAGGAGGGUCCUUUCUACAUUCAAAAUAAUGCCACCUUGCUCCUUUACAUCUAAUCUGGCUAGUUUAUAUACCUACAGCCUAAAUAAUCAGGAAGGGAAUAAGGGAAGGGGAAAAGAAAUCAGUGAACGGCCCCUGAAGAAAUUAACUCAGCAAUCGGCACAGAGGAAACGACAUCGGAAAAAGGAAUCAACAAAAUCGACCAUGAAAGGCAGAAACGGGGCAGCUCGGAGGUGUGCAUAGGCAAGGAGGAGGCCAUCAGCGAGGGCCAGAAGCACAACAGUGGCAUGCGGGGGAGGAGGCCAUGGCGGAGUAGGACAACACCGGGUAGUGGUGCUGGACGCCGACCGAUUGACAACAAGAGGCGGCCGGGGACGUCCAUGGUGCUCCGGCAGGGAGCAAAUGACGGAAGGGGAUCAGAGAGGAGUGGGAGAGAGGCGCGGCUAUGGAGCUCACUUACCUCGCCGGUGAACCCAGCUGGGCGAUGGCUGUCAAGGGGAGACUGAGGACGCACGCAAGCGAGGAGGAGGACCAAGGUAGGAGAAGGGGGUGACAUACUGUGGAGGAGAUGGGCUUGCCGACGGGCGCGCGGGGCAGGACAUAGGCGCUGGAUGGAGAAGAGGCCGCACAAUGGACAACUUCUAGAUAAGAUAAGGCACGCA
rnacentral:lncRNA from 1 species